rnacentral:lncRNA from 10 species
GAGUUGGGAAUGAAUGGAUAUUAGGAAGGACAUCCACAGAGCUGGUCAGUCAAGAAUGAAACCUAUGCACCAAACUGAGAAAAGCUGUUGAUAGAGGAAUUUUAAAGAAGGAAUAGGGAGAGGACUACUUCUCUGUUUUUAGCUGGAAGUUCUAUCAUGUACAAAUGCUUUUGAUCACUACUUACAGCAUGUCCAGCAAUGAUGGCUUGAAAAUGGGAGAUUAUUGUAUGACAAGAAGUCCUAUGCAGGAGGAUUUUCUGGUUAUAACAACUGCUCUAUCAUGCAUCAAGGACAUAGGUUAUAUAUGUCUUUUCUGUCCUUCAUUCUCAGUGAUUUCACUACCCUAGAACCAAAAUGAACCAUGUUACACAAAUGAAGUUGGGAAAUUUCUUCGCUCCGUAUACGCACAUAUGUAGACAGCUCCAUAUCCCACAACCUCGUGAUAAUGAAAUCCCUCGCCUCUAGGAAACAUCACAGAAU